AAUCCGUGAUGUGGACAGCAUCUCAAAAGAUCCUUAAACCUCUCCCAUGCAUCGUACAUGUUUCAUCAUCAACCUGCACAAAAGAAGAUAUGUCAUUUCUAAGUUU
rnacentral:snoRNA from 1 species